rnacentral:rRNA from 1 species
AUAUUGGACAAUGGAUGGAAAUCUGAUCCAGCCAUGCCGCGUGCAGGAAGACGGCCCUAUGGGUUGUAAACUGCUUUUGUAUGGGAGCAAUAAGGACUCCGUGUAGUUUGAUGAGAGUACCAUACGAAUCAGCAUCGGCUAACUACGUGCCAGCAGCCGCGGUAAUACGGAGGAUGCGAGCGUUAUCCGGAUGUAUUGGGUUUAAAGGGUGCGUAGGCGGCGAUAUAAGUCAGUGGUGAAAUAUUUCGGCUUAACCGAGAGACUGCCAUUGAUACUGUUUUGCUAGAAUAUGGUUGAUGUGAGUAGAAUGUGUGAUGUAGCGGUGAAAUGCUUAGAUAUCACACAGAAUAUCGAUUGCGAAGGCAGCUCACAAAGCCAUUAUUGACGCUGAGGCACGAAAGUGUGGGGAUCAAACA